rnacentral:tRNA from 1 species
GCUAACAAACUAAAGUUUUAGGGCUAUGUUUCGGCCAUUGUUUUGAGGGACUCCUCUGUUGGUU